UAAGAAUGUCUUUAUUCAGCAUAAUUAUCAUUUAAGGUAUACAAAGCAAGAGUAAGUACAUAAAAAAACAUAAAAACAUAACAGACAAUAAAUAAAAACAUAUGCUGAAUAGGCGCCCGCUCAGCAAAAAUCGCGACAUGACACAAACGUCAUGCCGAGAAGCUGGUUUUCAGCGGGAACCAAUUCGUGAUGAGGGUUGCGCGCCCUUCUGGUUAAGACCUGUGGCCGAGACGGUUUAAUCAGACAGUUAUAAACAGGUUAAAGGCAAGCUACAAUCUGGUGACACAGUCCCUGUCUCGUCUGUGACACAGUGAGCCAGGUCGGUCUACUGGCCAUAAGGGCGCGCAAUAGGGGGCGUGGUAGUCGAUAAAAAUUACUACCUAAAAACUACUACUAAAAUUACAAGUAAAUUCAAAAGAGACAAUGAUAAAUUUUCGGCUGGUUGUCAUGGUCUACCUACAUCUUCAACAAGCGCUAUUCUCCGCCAAACGCAGCCAUGAGAAAUAAUAAAUUAAAAUUAAAAUAAAAAAAUCAAAAAACAAAAAAAGUGUAUGUGAACGUUUCCGUUUAAAAAUUGAUCGAACUGAACACAGUGCCAGUGCCGAGUUGCAAGAUUCUUAAAAAAAAAAAACAAAAUUAUAUAACUCAAACAUUUACAAAGUCAGCUAAAUUUACAAAUAAAACAUGCGCAAAGACAAGCCAAAUCAAUUCGCAGUUGCUCCAGAGGAUAUUAUUUAGGAAUUUAAAACAAAGAAACAGAAGGACGACAACAAGACUAUCACAAUUAAAUAUAUUAUGUUGUGCUGUGAAAUUGGCAACGGUUGCAGGGAGUGUCGUGCUCUGCGGGGUGUGUAUCCAAACAAGAAAAAGAUGAGAGAAAAAUAGAAGAAAAAAAAAAAAAAAAAGUGUCAUUCUAACAUUUCUAUUAACCUCACAUUUAAUUUUCACAAGUUCGCCUCAUGCUUUUUAUUUUUAUUACGCACGUUGUGCCACGUUAAAAAAAGGGUGAUGUGGCGUAUUUACUGGUCCCAUACAAAAUCGAAGAGAGAGAAGUCAGUCAUGUAACAUAGGUGAGGGCCCAAGCGCGAAAUAUUGGGCUCGUGGUUUGCGAGAGUUGCGGGGCCGCCGCCAGUAAAUUGAGGUGUGAGAGAGGAGCAGACAAGUUCGGCGGGCAUGACGCGCAUGACCCCUCGGGCGCGCCCGUACGUCGGCUGGUACGAUACCAUGCUGAAACGGCCCUCGCGAGCCAAUGGUCAGCUUAUUUGCGAUGGGAUCGACCUGCCAACCCCUGCGAGCGCGUCGACGACAUACAGAUUGCGCAGUGGAGGUGGCAGGUCAUUC